UACAGAGGUCCCAAGCGUUGUUCGGAUUCAUUGGGCGUAAAGGGUGCGUAGGCGGAUUGCUAAGUCAGGGGUGAAAUCCUGGAGCUCAACUCCAGAACUGCCUUUGAUACUGGCAACCUUGAGUCCGGGAGAGGUGAGUGGAACUGCGAGUGUAGAGGUGAAAUUCGUAGAUAUCGGGAAGAACACCGAUGGCGAAGGCGGCUCUCUGGGACGGUACUGACGCUGAGACGCGAAAGCGUGGGGAGCGAACAGG
rnacentral:rRNA from 1 species